rnacentral:rRNA from 1 species
UACGGAGGGUGCAAGCGUUAUUCGGAUUCACUGGGUUUAAAGGGUGCGUAGGUGGGCAGGUAAGUCAGUGGUGAAAUCUCCGGGCUUAACCCGGAAACUGCCGUUGAUACUAUUUGUCUUGAAUAUUGUGGAGGUAAGCGGAAUAUGUCAUGUAGCGGUGAAAUGCUUAGAUAUGACAUAGAACACCAAUUGCGAAGGCAGCUUACUACACAACGAUUGACGCUGAGGAGCGAAAGCGUGGGGAGCGAACAGG